GACGAGCUCUCCAAACGUUAUUCGGUAUCACUGGGCUUAAAGAGUUCGUAGGCGGUCUGGUAGGUGAGGUGUGAAAUCCCCCGGCUCAACCGGGGAACUGCGCUUCAAACCGCCGGACUUGAGGGAGACAGAGGUGGGCGGAACAGAUGGUGGAGCGGUGAAAUGCGUUGAUAUCAUCUGGAACACCGGUGGCGAAGGCAGGUCUCUGGGCCACUACUGACGCUGAGAAGCGAAAGCAUGGGGAGCGAACAGG
rnacentral:rRNA from 1 species